UUCAAUCAUAAAAGGUGGCUUUUAGCUACCACUUACAGAUGGACCCGCGGCGCAUUAGCUAGUUGGUGAGGUAACGGCUCACCAAGGCGACGAUGCGUAGCCGACCUGAGAGGGUGAUCGGCCACACUGGGACUGAGACACGGCCCAGACUCCUACGGGAGGCAGCAGUAGGGAAUCUUCCGCAAUGGACGAAAGUCUGACGGAGCAACGCCGCGUGAGUGAUGAAGGUUUUCGGAUCGUAAAACUCUGUUGUUAGGGAAGAACAAGUACCGUUCGAAUAGGGCGGCACCUUGACGGUACCUAACCAGAAAGCCACGGCUAACUACGUGCCAGCAGCCGCGGUAAUACGUAGGUGGCAAGCGUUGUCCGGAAUUAUUGGGCGUAAAGCGCGCGCAGGCGGUUUCUUAAGUCUGAUGUGAAAGCCCCCGGCUCAACCGGGGAGGGUCAUUGGAAACUGGGGAACUUGAGUGCAGAAGAGGAGAGUGGAAUUCCACGUGUAGCGGUGAAAUGCGUAGAGAUGUGGAGGAACACCAGUGGCGAAGGCGACUCUCUGGUCUGUAACUGACGCUGAGGCGCGAAAGCGUGGGGAGCGAACAGGAUUAGAUACCCUGGUAGUCCACGCCGUAAACGAUGAGUGCUAAGUGUUAGAGGGUUUCCGCCCUUUAGUGCUGCAGCAAACGCAUUAAGCACUCCGCC
rnacentral:rRNA from 1 species